rnacentral:rRNA from 1 species
AUGUCAAGCAUGGCAUCCAGCAAGAGGCUUCUUGUGUUCGCUCUCCUGCUUGCUGCUGCUAUCCUCGUCGCCUCGACUGAUGAACACCCUGAGGCCAAGAAGGAAGAGAAUGAGGCCGGCGUGGAGAACUUCCACUUUGGCGGAGGCCACCACGGGCACGGAGGCGGCGGGGGAGGCUACGGCGGAGGCGGAGGCGGAGGAGGUUACGGCGGCGGCGGAGGGUACGGCGGCGGGGGCUACCCAGGCGGCGGAGGAGGCUACGGUGGCGGUGGCGGCUACCCUGGCCAUGGCGGAAAAGGCGGCGGAGGCUACGGCGGCGGCGGAUGUCACUGGGGCUGCUGCGGGCACGGGCUCUUCCAUCACCAUGGCUGCCGCUGCUGUGCGCGCGCGGACGAGGUUCCGGAGCCCAUGUACCGGGCGGAGGUCCGCAACUGA